UCGUUAUCAAUAUAAAAAAACUCGUGCCGGCAGAAUUGACUACACGGCCCUGAGGAGUUGCGCAUGGUACGCAUGUUGACAAUUGCACACGCUGCGCGUUAUGUUUGUCAAGUCACACGGAAUAAAACCUAGUUGUGGUGGGGAACGAUCGAUAAAUACGAAGCCGCGACGUCGUACCGUCAAGUAAGCAUUCCGCUGCAUUAUCUGAGAGUUCGAGUCUCGACAAGUGAAGCGACAAGACAAAGCCGAUCAAAAUGCCGGGACCAGGAUGCGACAAGUGCAAGGACAAAUGCAAGGAUUGUAAAUGCAGUGACAACUGCUCGUGCUGCGACUCCGGAUGCAAAG